AUGAAUCAGAAGUUCCAAAGUGAAUCUUGGGUGAAAGGAGACUGAUCAUAUUUUACAUGCAAGUCAUUUUUUUUUUCAAAGUCUGAAUCUUCACUAAAUGGAUCCUUGGCAUUGAAGAAAUUUCAGCAGUGAAAAGGGGUGCUCUUGCUUUGGUCUCAAAGACACAGUUGUGUCUCAUGGGUUAAACUGCACCUGGUGUUAAAUGGCAAGGUGAUGUAUGAAAAGGGAGUAACAGAAAAUUAAGACCCAGAGGCUAAGAAAACAGGACCAAUGCAGGUAUCAGCCACAGAUACACUAUACCAGAAUGAGGAGGGUUCUAGCUACAGAUGACAAAGAAGCCACUGAAAGUCCCUGCUGGGAAAGCCAUCCUAUUCAAGAUUUAAAAGACCUCUUUAGGAAAGGAAACCUAUGACAACUAUGUUCAUUCUGUGGCCCAUAUUAAUGAUGUCUUCUCUCUCCCUAGGUUGGAAAGACAAUGCACUCGUACAGGAGAAGAACAGAAAGCCCUCAUACAUCACUGAACAGGAAUCAGACCUCUUGUACAAACAUCAAGCACCUCUGAAAAUAAGCACCACUAAAUCUCAUGGAAUCAGGAAACGUUUCAGGCUACUGCACCCCCUCACUGAUCAAUGACACUCUGUCCCUUUAAAACCCUCUUGGCUAGGCAGAAACACAGAGUUGGCUUUUGGACAAGAGUCUGCCUUCUCCCCAGCUGGCUGGCCUCCUGAAUAAAGCUCAUAUUCCUUGCCAACCAACAGCCAUCUCUUGAGUAUUGGCCUUUUGACCAAUGGGCAGCCGAACAUGGGAUUUGGUAACAUGCCCUUCUCA